rnacentral:rRNA from 1 species
GACGAACGCUGGCGGCGUGCUUAACACAUGCAAGUCGAACGGAAAGGCCCUGCUUUUGUGGGGUGCUCGAGUGGCGAACGGGUGAGUAACACGUGAGUAACCUGCCCUUGACUUUGGGAUAACUUCAGGAAACUGGGGCUAAUACCGGAUAGGAGCUCCUGCUGCAUGGUGGGGGUUGGAAAGUUUCGGCGGUUGGGGAUGGACUCGCGGCUUAUCAGCUUGUUGGUGGGGUAGUGGCUUACCAAGGCUUUGACGGGUAGCCGGCCUGAGAGGGUGACCGGCCACAUUGGGACUGUGGUACGGCCCAGACUCCUACGGGAGGAAGCAGUGGGGAAUAUUGCACAAUGGGCGGAAGCCUGAUGCAGCAACGCCGCGUGCGGGAUGACGGCCUUCGGGUUGUAAACCGCUUUCGCCUGUGACGAAGCGUGAGUGACGGUAAUGGGUAAAGAAGCACCGGCUAACUACGUG